AGCGAACGCUGGCGGCGUGCCUAACACAUGCAAGUCGAACGUGAAAGGGAGCAAUCUCAAGUAACGUGGCGUACGGGUGAGUAACACGUAGGUAAUCUACCCCAGAAUCUGGAAUAACCGGCCGAAAGGCUGGCUAAUACUGGAUAGAGCGACGGAAUCCGUAAUUGGGUUUUUCGGGAAAGGGAGCCUGUAAAAAGGCCUUCGUUCUGGGAUGAGCCUGCGUCCCAUCAGCUAGUUGGUGAGGUAAAAGCUUACCAAGGCAAUGACGGGUAGCUGGUCUGAGAGGACGAUCAGCCACACUGGAACUGAAACACGGUCCAGACUCCUACGGGAGGCAGCAGUGGGGAAUCUUGCGCAAUGGACGAAAGUCUGACGCAGCAACGCCGCGUGAGUGAAGAAGGCCUUCGGGUUGUAAAGCUCUGUCGAGUGGGACGAAAAUGCUUGGAGUUCACAGCUCCAGGAACUGACGGUACCACUAAAGGAAGCACCGGCUAACUCCGUG
rnacentral:rRNA from 1 species